UUGUUGUGAAUUAGUCUAGUUUUAAUUGAGUAAAUAAAUGUAUCAAUGAUGUCAGUGACAUGUUUUAUAUCACGCUAAGAUGGUAACAUCUUGACUGAAUUGCUAGGAUUUGUCUGAAUUUUCAACUUUACUUAAUUUUCUAUCAUAAUUAGAAUUACCUUUUUUGAUAGAAAGAAGUUUCCUUGUUGGAAAAGAUCUCUUUCCUAUUAGAUUUCUAUUAGGUUUAUUCUUUUUUUUAAGGGUUUUGUAACUCUAUAAAUGAUCUCUCUUCUCAUACAAAACAUAGCAGCAUCCACAAUGUAAUCUUUAAAGAAUUUUUGUUUAGGGGAAGAUUUCUCCUUAUAGGUUUUUGGUUUUUCAAUUUUAUUUUUAAUAUGUAGGCCGUUUGGACAAAUCAUAUCAAUAAUAUAGUUUUUUAGUAUUGUUUUAUUUGUCAUCUGAAUUAUCACCAUUUUGAUUUGCAAAUUUUAAGCUUCUGCAGGAUGUCCUCUCGAUUUUGAACCCAACAAGUGGUAUCAGAGCUUACGGUUCAAAGAUCUAGUGGAUUGGUAAAACGAGGUUGAAGACAAGUCUAAGGUGGUUCUAUCAAUUUGCAAUCAAUUGGAUGAUAAUGAAGAAAUUUUGCAAUCAAUUGGAGAACAAGUUUCAACCAUAUUUUCAACAUUUCUGUUCCUGUACCUUUAAAAAUAAAAAACAAAUAUUAAUUUUUUAAUUUAUUUUUAAUCAUGAUAUUUUAAAUAUUAUUUUUACCAUGGCAAGAAGCAAUUAUGAAGAUUAUAUCAAGAAUGAAGUUCAUGCAUGUGAUGUGAAGAAGGUGGAUCAAGUGAAGAAAAUGAAACCAAAAAGGGUAUAUUUGUUAGGGUUUUUGCCCUGAUUUUCUUACAAAAAUUAAGUCUUACUUUUUUUUGUAAGGAAAAUAAAAGUAACCAUAAAUACUUUUAAUUUUCCUAAAAGAAAAAUAUAAAACAUUUUCAUAUUUGACUAACCUCUUUCUAAGAGGAAAGGUUUUGAACAUCUAUAAAUAGAAGAUCCCCUUCUCAUGUCAUAACACAAUAGCAUCCACAAUAUAGUCUUUUAAGAGUCAAGUUUAGGGGGAGAUUUUCUCUCUCAUUAGUUUCUAUGUUUUAAAUUUUAGUUUUUAAUAUGUAAGCCAAUUGGCCAAAUCAUAAAUAAUAUUAUUUUUUUUUAGUUUAGUUUUGUGUUGUCUGAAUUAUCGUCUUUAUGAUUUGCAAA
rnacentral:lncRNA from 1 species